UACAGAGGGUGCGAGCGUUGUCCGGAAUCACUGGGCGUAAAGGGCGCGUAGGUGGCGCCGCAAGUCCAUGGUGAAAGCUCGAUGCUCAACAUCGAGUCGGCCACGGAGACUGCGGGGCUCGAGCACUGUAGGGGCAGAUGGAAUUCCGGGUGUAGCGGUGGAAUGCGUAGAGAUCCGGAAGAACACCGGUGGCGAAGGCGGGUCUCUGGGCCGAUACUGACGCUGAGGAGCGAAAGCGUGGGGAGCGAACAGG
rnacentral:rRNA from 1 species